GGACGAACGCUGGCGGCGUGCUUAACACAUGCAAGUCGAGCGGUAAGGCCCUUUCGGGGGUACACGAGCGGCGAACGGGUGAGUAACACGUGGGUGACCUGCCCUCAGCUCUGGGAUAAGCCUGGGAAACUGGGUCUAAUACCGGAUAUGACACCAUGACGCAUGUUGUGGGGUGGAAAGCCUUGUGCGGCUGAGGAUGGGCCCGCGGCCUAUCAGCUUGUUGGGGGGUGAUGGCCUACCAAGGCGACGACGGGUAGCCGGCCUGAGAGGGCGACCGGCCACACUGGGACUGAGACACGGCCCAGACUCCUACGGGAGGCAGCAGUGGGGAAUCUUGCGCAAUGGGCGAAAGCCUGACGCAGCGACGCCGCGUGAGGGAUGACGGCCUGGUGUAAC
rnacentral:rRNA from 1 species